rnacentral:rRNA from 1 species
UGGGGAAUAUUGGACAAUGGGCGAAAGCCUGAUCCAGCCAUGCCGCGUGUGUGAAGAAGGCCUUUUGGUUGUAAAGCACUUUAAGCGAGGAGGAGGCUACUUGGAUUAAUACUCUAGGAUAGUGGACGUUACUCGCAGAAUAAGCACCGGCUAACUCUGUGCCAGCAGCCGCGGUAAUACAGAGGGUGCGAGCGUUAAUCGGAUUUACUGGGCGUAAAGCGUGCGUAGGCGGCUUCUUAAGUCGGAUGUGAAAUCCCUGAGCUUAACUUAGGAAUUGCAUUCGAUACUGGGAAGCUAGAGUAUGGGAGAGGAUGGUAGAAUUCCAGGUGUAGCGGUGAAAUGCGUAGAGAUCUGGAGGAAUACCGAUGGCGAAGGCAGCCAUCUGGCCUAAUACUGACGCUGAGGUACGAAGGCAUGGGGAGCAAACAGG